GUCGCGGUUUGCAAUCGCUUUGAAUUUGUUAAUUUUUUCAUAAUCCCGGAACAACGUACUGCCAUGGGAUUCCGGAAGCCAUAUGGGAAAGAUCGUCGAAAAUCAGCUGUUUUUUUUUGUCACGAAAAAACAUUCACGCUUGCUGUCAUGAAAUUCCGUUCAGUUUAUCGGUUGCAGUCAUUCGACCAGAAUAUUUCUUAUAAUCUCAGAACCGCUCUUUCUAUGACACUACCGAGGACACCCAAUCUACGGAGACUACGGAGGUCAACGACGGCCAGUGAGUGAUGGAGGAAACAACUCGAUAGUUCACUAUAGGAACGGUGCUGGUACUUACCGGGAAGAGCUGGAAUCGAACAACGACGUAUUAUGUGAUUCGAGUGAUCAAGCGAUGACAGGUUCCAAUGAGCAAAAUCUCUGCUAAAACAAGCUCUGAUCAAUAUGACGGGCGACCUCAUCCUGUGUUCCGGAUUUUCAAUCGUUUAAUGGACUAAAGGGUGUAUUUGCCAUCAUCGCUUUUAACAAUCGAGGCGACGCUCACCACCACACUUCACCAAUGUCUAGGAUGAUCCGGACCGGACAUGGUUUUGAAAAUUGUUCACACAUCGCUACAGCAGACACAAGCUUUCAGGCGUAGUUUCAGACUACCACCAGAUGGAUGC